rnacentral:rRNA from 1 species
ACGCUCGACACCUACGGGAGGCAGCAGUGAGGAAUAUUGGUCAAUGGGCGCAGGCCUGAACCAGCCAAGUAGCGUGAAGGAUGACUGCCCUAUGGGUUGUAAACUUCUUUUAUAUGGGAAUAAAGUUUUCCACGUGUGGAAUUUUGUAUGUACCAUAUGAAUAAGGAUCGGCUAACUCCGCGCCAGCAGCCGCGGUAAUCUGAGCGGGCUGGCAAGGC